UUAAGCGACUAAGCGUACACGGUGGAUGCCCUGGCAGUCAGAGGCGAUGAAGGACGUGCUAAUCUGCGAAAAGCGUCGGUAAGGUGAUAUGAACCGUUACAGCCGGCGAUGUCCGAAUGGGGAAACCCAGUGCAAUUCGUUGCACUAUCGUUAACUGAAUACAUAGGUUAGCGAGGCGAACCGGGGGAACUGAAACAUCUAAGUACCCCGAGGAAAAGAAAUCAACCGAGAUUCCCCCAGUAGCGGCGAGCGAACGGGGAGCAGCCCAGAGUCUGAAUCAGCUUGUGUGUUAGUGGAACGGUCUGGAAAGUCCGACGGUACAGGGUGAUAGUCCCGUACACCAAAAUGCACAGGUUGUGAACUCGAAGAGUAGGGCGGGACACGUGGUAUCCUGUCUGAAUAUGGGGGGACCAUCCUCCAAGGCUAAAUACUCCUGACUGACCGAUAGUGAACCAGUACCGUGAGGGAAAGGCGAAAAGAACCCCGGCGAGGGGAGUGAAAAAGAACCUGAAACCGUGUACGUACAAGCAGUGGGAGCACCUUCGGGUGUGACUGCGUACCUUUUGUAUAAUGGGUCAGCGACUUAUAUUCUGUAGCAAGGUUAACCGUAUAGGGGAGCCGCAGGGAAACCGAGUCUUAACUGGGCGUUAAGUUGCAGGGUAUAGACCCGAAACCCGGUGAUCUAGCCAUGGGCAGGUUGAAGGUUGGGUAACACUAACUGGAGGACCGAACCGACUAAUGUUGAAAAAUUAGCGGAUGACUUGUGGCUGGGGGUGAAAGGCCAAUCAAACCGGGAGAUAGCUGGUUCUCCCCGAAAGCUAUUUAGGUAGCGCCUCGUGAAUUCAUCUUCGGGGGUAGAGCACUGUUUCGGCUAGGGGGUCAUCCCGACUUACCAACCCGAUGCAAACUACGAAUACCGAAGAAUGUUAUCACGGGAGACACACGGCGGGUGCUAACGUCCGUCGUGAAGAGGGAAACAACCCAGACCGCCAGCUAAGGUCCCAAAGUCAUGGUUAAGUGGGAAACGAUGUGGGAAGGCACAGACAGCCAGGAUGUUGGCUUAGAAGCAGCCAUCAUUUAAAGAAAGCGUAAUAGCUCACUGGUCGAGUCGGCCUGCGCGGAAGAUGUAACGGGGCUAAACCAUGCACCGAAGCUGCGGCAGCGACACUAUGUGUUGUUGGGUAGGGGAGCGUUCUGUAAGCCUGCGAAGGUGACCUGUGAGGGUUGCUGGAGGUAUCAGAAGUGCGAAUGCUGACAUAAGUAACGAUAAAGCGGGUGAAAAGCCCGCUCGCCGGAAGACCAAGGGUUCCUGUCCAACGUUAAUCGGGGCAGGGUGAGUCGACCCCUAAGGCGAGGCCGAAAGGCGUAGUCGAUGGGAAACAGGUUAAUAUUCCUGUACUUGGUGUUACUGCGAAGGGGGGACGGAGAAGGCUAUGUUAGCCGGGCGACGGUUGUCCCGGUUUAAGCAUGUAGGCUGGUUGUCCAGGCAAAUCCGGAUAAUCAAGGCUGAGGUGUGAUGACGAGGCACUACGGUGCUGAAGUAACAAAUGCCCUGCUUCCAGGAAAAGCCUCUAAGCAUCAGGUAACAUUAAAUCGUACCCCAAACCGACACAGGUGGUCAGGUAGAGAAUACCAAGGCGCUUGAGAGAACUCGGGUGAAGGAACUAGGCAAAAUGGUGCCGUAACUUCGGGAGAAGGCACGCUGGUGUGUAGGUGAAGCCCCUGCGGGUGGAGCUGAGACCAGUCGAAGAUACCAGCUGGCUGCAACUGUUUAUUAAAAACACAGCACUGUGCAAACACGAAAGUGGACGUAUACGGUGUGACGCCUGCCCGGUGCCGGAAGGUUAAUUGAUGGGGUUAUCCGUAAGGAGAAGCUCUUGAUCGAAGCCCCGGUAAACGGCGGCCGUAACUAUAACGGUCCUAAGGUAGCGAAAUUCCUUGUCGGGUAAGUUCCGACCUGCACGAAUGGCGUAAUGAUGGCCAGGCUGUCUCCACCCGAGACUCAGUGAAAUUGAACUCGCUGUGAAGAUGCAGUGUACCCGCGGCAAGACGGAAAGACCCCGUGAACCUUUACUAUAGCUUGACACUGAACAUUGAGCCUUGAUGUGUAGGAUAGGUGGGAGGCUUUGAAGCGUGGACGCCAGUCUGCGUGGAGCCAACCUUGAAAUACCACCCUUUAAUGUUUGAUGUUCUAACGUUGGCCCCUUACCGGGGUUGCGGACAGUGUCUGGUGGGUAGUUUGACUGGGGCGGUCUCCUCCCAAAGCGUAACGGAGGAGCACGAAGGUUAGCUAAUCCUGGUCGGACAUCAGGAGGUUAGUGCAAUGGCAUAAGCUAGCUUGACUGCGAGCGUGACGGCGCGAGCAGGUGCGAAAGCAGGUCAUAGUGAUCCGGUGGUUCUGAAUGGAAGGGCCAUCGCUCAACGGAUAAAAGGUACUCCGGGGAUAACAGGCUGAUACCGCCCAAGAGUUCAUAUCGACGGCGGUGUUUGGCACCUCGAUGUCGGCUCAUCACAUCCUGGGGCUGAAGUAGGUCCCAAGGGUAUGGCUGUUCGCCAUUUAAAGUGGUACGCGAGCUGGGUUUAGAACGUCGUGAGACAGUUCGGUCCCUAUCUGCCGUGGGCGCUGGAGAAUUGAGGGGGGCUGCUCCUAGUACGAGAGGACCGGAGUGGACGCAUCACUGGUGUUCGGGUUGUCAUGCCAAUGGCACUGCCCGGUAGCUAAAUGCGGAAGAGAUAAGUGCUGAAAGCAUCUAAGCACGAAACUUGCCCCGAGAUGAGUUCUCCCUGAGACUUUAAGUCUCCUGAAGGAACGUUGAAGACGACGACGUUGAUAGGCCGGGUGUGUAAGCGCAGCGAUGCGUUGAGCUAACCGGUACUAAUGAACCGUGAGGCUUAACCUU
rnacentral:rRNA from 1 species